CAGUCGCCGCGGUAAUACGGAGGGAGCUAGCGUUGUUCGGAAUUACUGGGCGUAAAGCGCGCGUAGGCGGUUACUCAAGUCAGAGGUGAAAGCCCGGGGCUCAACCCCGGAACUGCCUUUGAAACUAGGUGACUAGAAUCUUGGAGAGGUCAGUGGAAUUCCGAGUGUAGAGGUGAAAUUCGUAGAUAUUCGGAAGAACACCAGUGGCGUAGGCGACUGACUGGACAAGUAUUGACGCUGAGGUGCGAAAGCGUGGGGAGCAAACAGGAUUAGAUACCCCCGUAGUCCCUGUCUCUUAUAC
rnacentral:rRNA from 1 species